ensembl:lncRNA
GCUGAGGGAACUGUGCCCGAUUGACCCUUACAGCAUGAAGAGCAGGGCAUGUAGAAGGCAGAUAGCAAGAAUGAAAUGCCCUUACACAGAGAAUGGGAUUGAAACUAAGUUUUCCAUGCCUCAGGGCACAUGAAGCUGCCUAAGAGGGAAGUACUCAUCCAGAUGCAAGGUGGACAAAAGCAAUGGCACAGGUCUUCAGGCUGCCCUGCUGAGGUUUCCCAAGUAUCUCCAGGAGGGCCAGGAUACAUGAGUUCUUGCAAACUGUUCUCAAGAGGUGAUUGUGCUAAUUCUUUCCUCUCACAAAUAUGUUCUUGGGCGAUCAAUCAAGAUGAACUUACAGAUGCCAUGAAGUCAUGAUAAUCAUAUAUCCCAAGUUGGAAGGCACCUCCAGAGCACACGCAGACAUGAGCUGCUGCUUCUUCAUUCCUGCUGGGAAGCUGGACUGAAAAAUCUGGGAGUCAGAUUUUUCCUGCCUAUAGAGGUUGAACAACCCCAACUCUACUUUCAGAAGUCAAAGAGGAUCUCAACAACACAGCUGGGGCUUGGACAAAAUUCUCUAGCAGCAGUCUGCAAAUUACAGUGAUUCCUUGAAGAGACAGAAAACAGAACAAAGCAACUUAACCUGGGAGGAGGAGUUCAAAUCUGUUUGGCUUGGACAAGUUUGAGAAGUGAGCCCACAUUAACCUAAUGUCCAAGUGCAAGGAACUGCACCUGGGCUGGGACAAUACCAAAUAUGAGUACAAACUGGACACUUUCCUGUGCAGCCUAUUGUAGGGAACCUGCUUUAACAGUGAGAUUGGACUUAAUAAUCUUCAGAGGUCCCUUCCAACCCCUGGGAGAAGAACUUGAGAGCAGACCUGCAGAGAAGGACUAAGGGGUUCUGGGCAAGCUCCUCAAGGAUUCUGUGCUCACAGGAUGAUUUGAACAAUGGAUCUAUUUGUAGCCUAGGUGGUACCAUGGUUCCCAAAUGGUGUAUGCUUUCCAAACGAGAAAAGCUUUCAUCAGAAAUAUGAUGCAUUUUCGUGAUCUGAUACGUUCAUUUACAGGUUUGUCCAUAAAUAUUUUUGCAGCUACACAGAGGGGAAAAUGAAUAUGGUCUUACAUACUUCACUUCUUCACGGAUGUUUAUGCAGAGACUCUUAACUCCUUUCUCAUGGAGCAAACCAUCCAUCAGCACAUUUUGCCUUGAGGUCUGCAGAAUGUCAGGUUUGGGUCAGUUAGCAUUGUCUUCAGUGCCUAAAUCUUUGAAAACAAGUUCAUACUGUCAAUUUCUUGAAACAAUUCUGCAAUUGGUAGAUAUUCAUGUAGAUUAUACUCUCAUUAUCAUUAGACUGUUUAACCCAACAUUCUUAACCUUUCUUGUUAGGAUGGCUGAAACUAAGGACUGGUCCUCAGAUGAAGCAGUGGGUGAGGUUGGCUGAUCUUCGUGCUCUAGAAUGAUACAUCUUCUUAUUAGGAAAAGGUUUUGGGUGCUGUUCUUGUUUGGGUGUCUGGCUGCUGAGAAAGAUGCUUUGAAUGUACAGUCGUUUGUAAACAUGGAGUGGCAGAUGCAUUCAGUUAAAAUGUAAUUCCAGGCUUGUGGCUUACCCUUGAAAUGCUUUCUUCCAUCUAGCAGCACUACUGAGCUCUCAGUCUGAAGUUGAGCCAGCUGUCUGUCUUCCAGCUUAUCUGGAUGUUGCCAAGGACACUUCUACUUCCUGGAUUGCUUUGCCUUUGGUGGAACAGGACGGAGUAGCUACGCUGCAUCAUUCAGGCAGAACAUGGUAUAGCUAAAAGCCAGUAUUGGUAGUUCUGCUCUUCCAAACGUUAAAAUGUAGAAAGGUGCUACAUUUUACAGAAAUAAAGGGGUAAAUGAAUUGGGGGGAAAAAAAAGAAAAACUUUCAUGCAUAAUUACAUAGAAAUUCUAUGUGUAAAAAGAAGCAUGAAUUGACCAUUCUAUUGACCUCCAGUAGAAUUUUCUGUUAGCUAAGAUCUAUGUAUUAAAGCCAAAGCCCAUCCCAGAUUCAUCCAUCAGUCCUGCUUGCGGAGUUUUACUGUAAUGAUUCAUUCAGGAUUUCAACUUUUGGAGAUGACUACUUAGUACUUUUGGCUUAGAUUUUUACUGCUUGUAAAGCUUGGUGUAUAGGCUUAUCAUUUCAGAAAUAACAUGAACUAGGUUAUGAGAUCAUUGUGAAAGAUUCUUCAUUAACUGUCAUACAACGCUCAUGGAACUAUAUUAUUUCAGGGGAUUUUUUCCUCAUUUCUCCCAGGAGAAAUUUUCAAGCUGGUGGGUUCUGAUAUAAAAUAUAUACAAUACUCAUUUUGUGCUCAAAGUUUCUUGAUAUAAAGAUCACUAGAUUAGAUUGCACAUACUUUUAGGGGGAAAAUAUUUUAGUUUGGAAACUGUAUUAAAGUGAAUGUAUCUCAAAAAUUAAAUCAUAGUAUGUGUGUGAUUAGAUAUGUAAUCUAAGUAUAUUUCAAAAUAUUAUACCAGACAUGUUACCUAACUCAAUCUACAUGCAUUGCUUUGGCAAGUUCAGAGUUUGCCUAAUAGGCUGAAGUCAAGAGAUAAGAAUAGCUUGUUCAGCAUGUCCAGACAAUGUAGUUAUGAAGGAAAGAAAGGAAGAAAAGAAGAAAACUUAGAGCAGUGGAAAUAUUUCAGGUAAAGGGACAGGAACCUAGAGUGUGAGAAGUGAAGCUGAACAUGUGAAUAUAACAAGAAGUGAUAGAACAGUACUGGUUCUUUUUAUUGUUCUAAUAAAGAUGAUUCAGGUCUGCUUUUAUUUCUCUCAGAAUCUGUGGCAAGUCUCUGUUUUCAUUUAUAGGAUAUGAGAGUAGAGCUUCUAGAGUACCCAUCUGGCCUGUCAAUGUUUAUUCUUUUUCACUGUGGUGAGGCUAUUGACGUUUUCUGGGCUUUUGCUCUGGAAAACUGAGUAGUCCAUGAUGAACGUGUGCCACUGCUAUUGCUAGGGAAAGACGUUAAGAUCCUUUGGUAGGAAGACAGGUGAUUUUCUGUCUGGCAUGGAGUUGUCAUUUCACUCACUGGUCAAAACUCUAAGGUAAGUACAGCCUUUCAGAGCUCUUGUUAAAUGCACUGCAUUAAUUCACAGUGUCUCCCUUAGCUUCUCAUAAUGUUAUCUUGCUCUUAAUCAAAGCUUCUGUUAAAGCUCAUCUCUUCCUAUGUUCCCUUGCACAGUUGAAUGUAGAUCUUUCUUUCAUAAUCUUCACUGUUUGCAGUUUAAUCUGCAUUAAUAUUUGACUUUAUUGCACAGUAAUAUUCACACACAAUGAGGGCAUUUAUGAUCCUGCAAAAGCACCAUCUUAAAUACAAGACAUGGGAAUUUUUUUUUGGAGGCCCACCCCUAGCCUUGCAAGACUUGCGGCACCAGCUCCUUCACAGUGUGAUUCACGGACAUGAAGUUAGGAACCUGUUGCUAACAAAUGCCAGUCUUCUGCAUUGCACCAAUAGUUCAGCAAAGGGAUUCAGGACCAAAAGUUAGCUUUCGGGAAUAAUAUGUCCUUAAUUUGGGCUUUAUUGCACUUUAUCUACAAUAUCUACGUGGGGAGUCUGGGUGAAAACUGACCGAUCUGUUUAACUUUACCAUGUUAGUGGCUAACCUUUUACAGUUUUAGAGCUGUUUGCAGAAUAUGACCCUCCUGCAGUGCACAAACCCUCUAAAGUCCUUUGUCAGCUAAACUGCAGUUGUCAGACAUGAGGGUUAUGGGAACGCUACAGACUAACUUUGUAGGAUUUGCUCCUGUCUUUGUCAUUAGUCAAACUUCUAACACUGGUUAAAAUGUACAUUUUGUAACUUAAUAAUUCUAAACUGGAAAAUUAGACCACAAAACUGGACACUGAAUAAAUUUACUCCUUUGAAUAUGGUCUCUGCACCUUAACAAAACACAUCACAGUGAGUUAAUAAUUACUAUUUUUAUACUGUGUUAUUUUAUGGAAAGUAUCUCUCACCAGCAGGAAAGUACAAGGACUUCUAGGAUUCACUGGGGUAUAAUGAAAGUUGCCAAAAAUGUAAACUAAUACAGAUUUUCUUAUGAACCAUGAAAAUAUUAUGUUUAAACUAAAACUGUAACCUUUAGCCUUUGUAUGAGAACAGCAAAAAUAUGAACAGGGAUUUUAAAAAAAUGUGUGUACGUAGACAUCUGAGGUCUCAGGCCUUAUUUUUUUAUUAAAUAAAUAGGGUCCGAGACCUCAGAUGGCUAGAAAAUACCAGCCAACUAAACUAACAUGAGAAGAUCAAUGGAUGAUCUGUAAGUGGAAAAAUUCUAUUCUGAUUAAAUCUACACAAAGGAUCCCUCUUUUUCCUUCCCAAAUGCUUUAGUGUACAUUUAAUUGCAGCAAGAUACCUUUUCACCUCCAUUAGGACAUUUUUUUUUUCUGGGAUUUUUCCAUUCUGCUUUUACUUCCUCCACUCAGGAAGUCAACAGACUGUAGCCAACAUACCAGCAGUACUCUUAGGACAGCAGUGACCUACCCAGCAUUCAGCAUCCAGCAACAAAGUCAAGACAAAAGAAAUAGUCACCUUGAGAGUCAAAAAUAGUAAGCUCCCAGGAUUCUGUUAGAAUACCAGAGUAUUGAAAGAGGCCAGGAUAUCAUUUCAGCUUUCUAGACCAGCUGUGGGGGUGUACAGUCAAGCCAGAAAGCUUAUGAAGAACAAAGGCAGUAAAACCAAACAUAGACAGUUCUUUGAAUCUGUGAUCUUUCCUUGCUUGAUAAAGUUCAGUUGUAGAAUUGAGCUGAAACUGUUUACUGAGCUAAUUUAUACUAACAGUUAAUUUUGACAACAACACGAGCCAUUUUUUCUCAUUUUGAAUUUUAACCAAAAGAAGCCCUAUUUUGAGGAUUGGGCACAAAAAUCCAGAAAUCUUUGAAUGUCUUAAAAACGGGAUGCUGUGACUUUUCUAUUUUGAAACUCGUUUCCCAUUCAGAGCAGAGCAAAUCUUUUUCUUUCUUUUCUUUUUCUUUUUUAACUAAAGGGAAUAAAAGGGUUAAAUAACCUGAAAGAAGAAAAGGAUCAAAUGAAUGUUCGGCCUGACCCCAGGCAUUUCUUCAAGGUUUUGUUUCAAUAACCCAACUAAAAUAUCCCUUGUUAACAUGAUUCUAAGUACAAGGUACCUUAACAACAAUUCCCGGGAGAUGUCGUAACACCUUUGUCAAAUUCAGUUUAAUGUCAGAGUGGCUGAGAACAUGUUCAUUCUAUGAAAAAAGGUACUUUAACAUUUCCAUCCUAAUUUUGGAAGAAAACAAAUGUUGAAGUAUUAGAAUUUCCCCCAGGAUGAAAAUUCUAAUAUUUUGCUCAGCUCUGGUUUCCAAUAACUCUUACACUUUAAUUUUGUGAUAUUUAACUUAAUGUUUCCCAUGUGAGUAUUAUAGCACUAGUGGGUAAAACUUUAGUCACCUCACAGAUUAGGCAUGCAAAGGAAAACAGUUCAUAUAUGUACAGGGACAGAUUUCUGCCUUCACAAGUGCCUUCCUCUUGUUUCCCCUGCUGAUGAGAUGUCAGUUUAUUACAGACUUGAUGAAUGGAGUUUCCUUUCUCAGGAAACAG